CGUGGAGGCCCGAACCCACUUAGGUUGAAGACUGAGGGGAUGAGCUGUGGGUAGGGGUGAAAGGCCAAUCAAACUCCGUGAUAGCUGGUUCUCCCCGAAAUGCAUUUAGGUGCAGCGUCGCGUGUUUCUUGUUGGAGGUAGAGCUACUGGAUGGCCGAUGGGCCCUACUAGGUUACUGACGUCAGCCAAACUCCGAAUGCCAAUAAGUUAGAGCGCGGCAGUGAGACGGCGGGGGAGAAGCUCCGUACGUCGAGAGGGAAACAGCCCAGAUCGCCGGCUAAGGCCCCUAAGCGUGUACUAAGUGGAAAAGGAUGUGCAGUCGCGAAGACAACCAGGAGGUUGGCUUAGAAGCAGCCACCCUUGAAAGAGUGCGUAAUAGCUCACUGGUCAAGUGAUUGUGCGCCGACAAUGUAGCGGGGCUCAAGUACACCGCCGAAGCCGCGGCAUUCAUGCAAUACAUUCCCUUCGGGGCAGUGGCAUGGAUGGGUAGGGGAGCGUCCUGCACCCAGCGAAGCUGCGAAGUAAUUCAGCAGUGGAGGGUGCGGGAGUGAGAAUGCAGGCAUGAGUAGCGACAGGCAAGUGAGAAACUUGCCCGCCGAAUGACCAAGGGUUCCUGGGCCAGGCUAGUCCUCCCAGGGUAAGUCGGGACCUAAGGCGAGGCCGACAGGCGUAGUCGAUGGACAACGGGUUGAUAUUCCCGUACCCGUGUGUGCGCGCCCAUGAUGAAUCAUCGGUACUAACCACCCAAAAGGUUCUAGAUCAAUCUCUUCGGAGUGCGACGUGAACCCGCUGCGUGGGACCUUCGGUGGUAGUAGUCAAGCGAUGGGGUGACGCAGGAAGGUAGCUGUACCGGUUAGUGGUUAUACCGGAGCAAGCCCGUAGGACGACAUCUAGGCAAAUCCGGAUGUCAUACGUCUGAGAGGUGACGCAUAGCCGAUUGAGGCGAAUUCAGUGAUCCUAUGCUGCCAAGAAAAGCCUCUAGUGAGUUCACACACGGCCCGUACCCCAAACCAACACAGGUGGUCAGGUAGAGAAUACUAAGGCGUACGAGAUAACUAUGGUUAAGGAACUCGGCAAAAUACCCCCGUAACUUCGGGAGAAGGGGGACCUCGCUUGGUGACCGGACUUGCUCCGUGAGCUGAACGAGGUCGCAGAGACCAGUGAGAAGCGACUGUUUACUAAAAACACAGGUCCGUGCGAAGUCGCAAGACGAUGUAUACGGACUGACGCCUGCCCGGUGCUGGAAGGUUAAGAGGACCCGUUAACCCUUGGGUGAAGCGGAGAAUUUAAGCCCCAGUAAACGGCGGUGGUAACUAUAACCAUCCUAAGGUAGCGAAAUUCCUUGUCGGGUAAGUUCCGACCUGCACGAAUGGCGUAACGACUUCUCAACUGUCUCAACCAUAGACUCGGCGAAAUUGCACUACGAGUAAAGAUGCUCGUUACGCGCGGCAGGACGAAAAGACCCCGGGACCUUCACUACAACUUGGUAUUGGAGUUCGGUACGGUUUGUGUAGGAUAGGUGGGAGACUGUGAAGCGCACACGCCAGUGUGUGUGGAGUCGUUGUUGAAAUACCACUCUGAUCGUAUUGGGCUUCUAACCUCGGACCGUCUAUCCGGUCCAGGGACAGUGCCUGGUGGGUAGUUUAACUGGGGCGGUUGCCUCCUAAAAUGUAACGGAGGCGCCCAAAGGUUCCCUCAACCUGGACGGCAAUCAGGUGUUGAGUGUAAGUGCACAAGGGAGCUUGACUGCGAGACCUACAAGUCGAGCAGGGACGAAAGUCGGGACUAGUGAUCCGGCACCCCCGAGUGGAAGGGGUGUCGCUCAACGGAUAAAAGGUACCCCGGGGAUAACAGGCUGAUCUUCCCCAAGAGUCCAUAUCGACGGGAUGGUUUGGCACCUCGAUGUCGGCUCGUCGCAUCCUGGGGCUGGAGCAGGUCCCAAGGGUUGGGCUGUUCGCCCAUUAAAGCGGCACGCGAGCUGGGUUUAGAACGUCGUGAGACAGUUCGGUCUCUAUCCGCCGCGCGCGUCAGAAACUUGAGGAAACCUGUCCCUAGUACGAGAGGACCGGGACGGACGAACCUCUGGUGUACCAGUUGUUCCACCAGGAGCACGGCUGGAUAGCUACGUUCGGACAGGAUAACCGCUGAAAGCAUCUAAGCGGGAAACCUAUUCCAAGACCAGGUUUCUUACCCUUUUAGAGGGAUAAGGUCACCCACAGACUAUGGGUUCAAUAGGCCAGACCUGCAAGCGUAGUAAUACGUUCAGGGAACUGGCACUAAUCGACCGAAAACUUACUAAU
rnacentral:rRNA from 1 species